GCUGGAGGCCGAAUUGGGCAGCUCGCCAGUGAAAAAGCCAGAAAAGGGACUGGAAACAAGGGCAGGGCAGAGCUGGUAGGCGGAACUAGGGUGUGGACAGACCAGGCGCACACUGCUGAGGUGGCAGCAGGCUACUGAAAACUGGGUGGCAGGGUGAGGAGGGCUCAGCUGAACCCCAGCCCCGACAUUGCGGCUGACAAGGGUGUCCGAGGUGCGGCUGCUGCAAAAAAGAACCUCUAAGCCAGGCCGCUGAACCUUCUGCUCAGAGAGAGGGGAGCCAGUCCAACGAGGAAGAACAGUUUUCAGAGGGAUCCUCCCAGGAAAGUUGGAGAGGAUCCAGAAACAAGUACAGACAGAAAAUGGGGGUGGCCUGUAGAAAGACAAGGGAUGACUUUUCCGGGGAGCGGUGAAGAAAUUCUCAGUCAGUAAAUUGACGAUUGAAAUUUUACCAGUCUCCUUCUUCCUGGUUCUUAAACCUCUGAUCCCAGUUAAAAAUGCAGUGGCAAAAAAAAAAAAAAAAGGAAUACUUGGAAUGCCUGUCAGUCCGUGGUGUGAAUGAGUGAUUGAUUAAACAAAUUUUGAUUGAGCCCGUGCUUUGUGAACAUAGACCCUACAUUUUAGCUCUAUGUGGUCCAUCUGAACCAGCAAUAAACAAGUCAACAAGUAUAUAAAUAAAAAAUCGAUCCAGAUAGUGAGAAGACAAAGGAGAAAAUAGAUCAGAUUUUCAGAUACUUUGCCAUCAAAACAGGUCUGAAGAUAACUGAAAGGAGUGUUGAAAGCUUCACGAUGUGCUGUCCCUCCCCUGCUCUCUCUCUCCUUGCUCAGCAUUAGGGAUUGAGUUCCCUUAAAACCAAACAGAAGGAAGAAAGGCACAUGAAGUACUUUUCAUGCUAGGCAAAGACUCUACCACAUCACCAGCUCAAAAGAAUGCACUUGGGAACCCAAACUGGUUCUGUGAACUGUGGAAUAUAGAACAAGUCACUCAAUGUCUGUGGGCCUCAGAUUCUUCAUCUGUAAAGUAAAAAUAAUACUAGGGUUGUUGUAAGGAAUAAAUUAUAUUCUCUAUCUGUAAAUCAAUUAACAUAAUAUCUAGUAUACAAUAAGUAUUCAAUAAAAAACAUUAUCUUCAUAUAAUUUUCCUUAGAAAGCUUGUAAGAUUUCAGAUGUAGAAUUAUGAUUAAGUAAUGUUUAUUAAACUUAAUUAUUUCCUACCCUGUUUCUUAGGAAAACUUCCACAUUAUUAUAGCACUUUCCUACUAUAGGAUGUAUUCAGCAUUUUAUGUUUAAGACAGGGUCUUGUUAAAUUGCUCAGGUUGCCCAGGAACUCUUGGGUUCAAACGAUCCUGUCUCAACCUUCAGAGUAGCUGCAACUACAGGCAUAUCACUGCAUCUAGUUUCACCAUUGUAUUUUAAUUAUUUGUUUUCAUUCAUGCAGCACUGAAAUCUAGGGUGGGGCUUUAUUCUUGUUUAUGUUCUCAGGUCACCAGACAUUUUGCAGGUUAAUUUGGAUUUGGAAAUCAUUCACAUGGAGGCAGAUCACUAAUGUAAAUGAGAAGGAGGUGGUCAUCACAGGUUUAGGAAGUUAAACACUUUGCUGUUUAUUUAGUAAGUCUACAGAUUUAGUUUCUGUUCUUAUUAAUCGUGCAUUUCUAAGUGUCACUGAAACAUAUUUUCAGAAUAUCCUCAUCUGCUGAGUUCAGUAUUUGGCUUCUUGAUGGCUGCCUAUUUAUAAAAUUGAUAAUAAACACAAUGAUAGUUUAUUAAAAAUUUAAAAAGAACAAACCUAACAGUGGUUCUCUGCUGCUGUAUUGUUUACACACAGACAGAGGCAGCUGCCCUCUAAGAAGUCUGCACUUCCUGUUUUGGUAAGGAAUAAUAGAAAAGGCAACCAGUUAGAAGUCACAGCUGGGUUUCCAAACGGGCUUUGCUGCUUACUAGCUAUGUGAACUUUUAAAAUUUUAUUAUAUAUUUUGUUUGAUUCAAUAUAUCCAAGGUAUUAUUUCAACAUGUAAUCAGUAUAAGCUUUAGAAAUCCAGAGUAUAUUUUAUUUACAUUUGUUGCACAUAUUAGUUCCGGUGCCUGCGGUUCUGAGUCUCAAUUUCCUUAUUUGUGAAAUGAAGAUAGAGUUGUCCAGGUCCCUGAAAGGGUUUUAAGAGUGCACGUGAACCUGCACUCCACCCUGCACAGAGGGGCGCCCAAUAAGUCUGGUAUCCUUUCAGUCCUUUCUCCCACUCUGCUCUGUCUCCUAGCUGUGUGAACUUGAAGGAAUCAUUUAACCUAUCCAAUCUCAUUGCUUUCACCUGUCAAAUGACAACAAUACCGUCCCUUCUUUUUAAUAGAUAUGAAUAUCAAAUUAAAUAUUGUAUAUUAAGUUUUUGUGUGGGUAUGUAUGCUGCUAAGGAUUACAUUGAGGGCCUCCCACAUGCAAGCCAAACACCAACCACUGAGCAAUACCCUGACAUCCCCCAAAUCUUGAAUAGUUCUGUUCAAAUGUAAAGCAGUAUUCUCACAAGAAAUUCACUGGAGAGCUUUUUUUUUUUUUAAAGCCUUCUAUAACAC